AGAGUUUGAUCCUGGCUCAGAUUGAACGCUGGCGGCAUGCCUUACACAUGCAAGUCGAACGGCAGCACGGGAGCAAUCCUGGUGGCGAGUGGCGAACGGGUGAGUAAUAUAUCGGAACGUGCCCAGUAGUGGGGGAUAGCCCGGCGAAAGCCGGAUUAAUACCGCAUACGACCUGUGGGUGAAAGCGGGGGGAUCGCAAGACCUCGCGCUAUUGGAGCGGCCGAUAUCUGAUUAGCUAGUUGGUGGGGUAAAGGCCUACCAAGGCAUCGAUCAGUAGCUGGUCUGAGAGGACGACCAGCCACACUGGGACUGAGACACGGCCCAGACUCCUACGGGAGGCAGCAGUGGGGAAUAUUGGACAAUGGGCGAAAGCCUGAUCCAGCAAUGCCGCGUGAGUGAUGAAGGCCCUAGGGUUGUAAAAUUCUUUCGACGGGGAAGAUAAUGACGGUACCCGUAGAAGAAGCUCCGGCUAACUUCGUG
rnacentral:rRNA from 1 species